AUAAUAAUUUAGGCCUGGUUUUUGUGAUCCAGAUGAGCAUUGGAAGGAAAUGGAAGGAAAUCCUUGACGUCACAGAUAAGAUCUCUUACAGUUUUCAUGAUGAUUCUAAAAGGGAAAGAUCAGCAAAAAAUCGAUAUAGUGUGUGAAUAUGCACUUGAAAUCGACAGUGUUAACAGGCACCUGAUUAUACUCAAAAUUAUGUGUGUGUGGCAUUUAAGUAGAGAUGCGGUUAAUGACGACAAUCAGGAACACCCCACCACUUGUGUCACUGCAAAUUGAUGUAGAAGAUAUUGCUUUGCGCUUUAAUUUUGAUGUAACAUUAUCAUGCGCCAGUUUUGACCUUUGCAAUCUAGGUGUUUUUUAAAAAAAAUAUAUAUUGUUUCAAUGUAACGUUGUCAGAUGCCAGUUUUGAUUCUAGUAAUACUGAGAUUGUUGCCUUUCUUCCCUUUGUGUGAGUUGCUAAUUGUCUUCAAGCAAAGGGGUUUUACGCAAUUUGACUGAGUUUUGACUGGAUAUUGGAAUUCUCCGUACUUAUAAACAGUUACUAGAAUUCCGGA